UAAAGCUCCUUUUCACAGGGACAGACUUGCUAAAUGGAUGUUCUUGGGUUACCCUACUGGUUCUACUGAGGAAGAGUUGUACUUUUUCUUUUCCAGUGUUGUCCAGGAGUGGGAAAAAGAACCAGGUAGCUCCAAUCUCCCGUUUUGUAGUUGUAGAGGACUGUACAAUCAUAACUGAGUUUGUGCAUAAUGUAACUCCACAAUGUGGAACUACAUCAUGAGGAGACCCUCAAUCACCACUGACAGAGCAAGUCAGGUCUACUACUGUCUUGAGUUCCAAAACCAACAAAGAGGCGCUGUAAUCUUGAUUUAAGAAAUGCGAAAACUGAUGCUCAUGGAAAUUAAGGGUGCUGGAAUUCAAAAUCAGGUGAGUCUGAUUGCAAGGUCCAUGCCACUGUUUAUAACAAUUAUAAAUGUUACAAAAGAAUAACAGAACUUUCUUCCACCAGUUUACCAUUAACUAUAUAAAGCAUUCAUAUAUUUAUUCAUUAAAUAUUUUCUGAGGUUAGUCUAGGUUUAGGGCAACAUAAAAGAUAUGAUGUUAGGAUUAUGAAUUUCACAGUCCUUCUACCCUUCUGAAGCUCAUUAAAGAUCACAGUACUGUUAGGUUUUAGGCAGUUAGUUAGACAUGAGUAGGGUGGAUGGCAGGUAUGGUUAGGUUACUUUGGACGCCUUGUGUCAGGCUGCCCUGGGCUAUUGUGGGAAUGGAGGCUAAUUGCCAAUUAAGAUCUUGCAGGUCUGAGACUUUGAAGGUGGGUUGUCUUGGGGAGCUGGUUGUUUUAGGGGACUAAUUAAUGUCCCUGGGACUGCCUAAUAUAGACAAAUAGAUGUGAACUGUUAUGGAAACAUGUAUGGGAAUGAAAUUGAUCUACAGCAGUGGUUCUCAACCUGUGGGUCGCUACCCCUUUGUAACAAUGAAAAUAUAUCGCAGCAUUAGAAAGGUUGAGAACCACUGAUCUAGAGCAUAGGAAUUUUCCAAGUAACUAUGUAUAAAAUAUAGAACCUGUGUGGGCACAGCCUGCUGUCCAAAUUGGUAGAAUAAGCUUUUCCUUUCUUGCUAAAACUUUACUUAGUCUUCUUCUCUUCAGUUAUUUCUCUGACUACCUUGAACCAUCACUGUCCUAACAGUACUAUGUCCUUCCAACAUUCAUCCAACAAAUAUAUGUUUAGUACCUUCCAUGUACCAGUCAGUUAACCUGGGAAGAACAAGUUGUUCUUUGUGCUUAAGAAGUUUGCGAGUGAGAUGGACAAAUAAACUGGCAAAUAUAAUGUGGUGUUGUCAGUGCUAUGAGUGGAGAGAAGUUGGAAGGAACAGAAGCCGGGCCCCUAAAUUAGUUUUGGAGAUAUCAAAAAAAGGUUUCUGAAAGGACACAUAUUGAAAGUUAAUUCAUUUUUUAUAUUAAUUCUAGCUAAAAUUAAAUAAUUUUUUUCUCAAAAUAACUGAACAACUACUUGGCUUAAUUUCAAAUCCUGGGAAGAAUAUUCUUAGAGGAAAAUCAAAUAUUUAGGAAAUAUACAAAUACUAUUUAUAAACAUUCAAAUAUAAGUUCUAAAAAGCAAAUUCCAGCCAAUUAGAAAAUAAAGAAAAGCCAAUUGUAUGUUUAAUUACUUACCCAGUUCACAAAUACAGAGCAUCUACAAUGUGUGAGGUAUCAUUGUGUAACAACUGGAAACAUAAGGUUGAGAAGAAAGAUCCUGUGGUACCCAUCAGAAGGUUCUAGUUUAGGGUGGGGCCUGUGGCUCAGUGAGUAAGGUGCCGGCCCCAUAUACCAAGCGUGGCAGGUUCAAGCCCAGCCCCGGCCAAACAGCAACAACAACAAAAAAUAAAUAAAUAAAAGGUGGAAGGUUCCAGUUUAGAGUGUAGCAGAAGGGACAAAAACGAAAACACCCAAGUAAUAAUAUUUCA